GUAGAGAAUACCAAGGCGCUUGAGAGAACUCGGGUGAAGGAACUAGGCAAAAUGGCACCGUAACUUCGGGAGAAGGUGCGCCGGCGAGGGUGAAGGACUUGCUCCGUAAGCCCAUGCCGGUCGAAGAUACCAGGCCGCUGCGACUGUUUAUUAAAAACACAGCACUCUGCAAACACGAAAGUGGACGUAUAGGGUGUGACGCCUGCCCGGUGC
rnacentral:rRNA from 1 species